rnacentral:rRNA from 1 species
GACGAACGCUGGCGGCGUGCUUAACACAUGCAAGUCGAGCGGUAAGGCCCUUCGGGUACACGAGCGCGAACGGGUGAGUAACACGUGGGUGACCUGCCCUCAGCUCUGGGAUAAGCCCGGGAAACUGGGUCUAAUACCGGAUAGGACCGCUUGCCGCAUGGUGGGUGGUGGAAAGCCAGUUACAUUGUUUCUGGCGGCUGGGGAUGGGCCCGCGGCCUAUCAGCUUGUUGGGGGGUGA